AAAGAUCGCAGCCUUCGGCAGCUCCCACGGGGGAAUGCGUCCUUGAAUUGACCCCUGUAGGAGCUGCCGAAGGCUGCGAUCUCU
rnacentral:misc_RNA from 1 species